rnacentral:tRNA from 1 species
GGUUCAAGUCCCUCUAUCCCCAAAAAUUUUUUUCACUCCUUAA